rnacentral:misc_RNA from 1 species
GAUGAAGAACGUAGCGAAAUGCGAUAAGUAGUGUGAAUUGCAGAAUUCAGUGAAUCAUCGAAUCUUUGAACGCACAUUGCGCCCUUUGGUAUUCCUUAGGGCAUGCCUGUUCGAGCGUCAUUUAAACCUUCAAGCUCAGCUUGGUGAUGGGUAACUGUCCUCCCCUCGCGGGGGGACUCGCCUCAAAAACAUUGGCGGCCGGUACAUUGGCUUCGAGCGCAGCAGAAACGCGGUCUCGAGCCCGGUGGAUCGGCUCCCAUAAGUCUAUUCUUUUAUUUUGACCUCGGAUCAGGUAGGGAUACCCGCUGAACUUAAGCAUAUCAAUAAGCGGAGGA